UACGUAGGUGGCAAGCGUUGUCCGGAUUUACUGGGCGUAAAGAGCGCGCAGGCGGUCGUUCAAGUCGCGUGUGAAAGCCCCCGGCUCAACUGGGGAGGGUCACGCGAUACUGAUCGACUCGAAGGCAGGAGAGGGUAGUGGAAUUCCCGGUGUAGUGGUGAAAUGCGCAGAUAUCAGGAGGAACACCGGUGGCGAAGGCGGGUCUCUGGGCCGUAACUGACGCUGAGGAGCGAAAGCAUGGGGAGCGAACAGG
rnacentral:rRNA from 1 species